rnacentral:rRNA from 1 species
AGUUAAAUUAUUAAGGGCGUAUGGUGGAUGCCUUGGCAUUAGAAGACGAUGAAGGACGCGACAAACAGCGAUAUUGCUUCGGGGAGUUGUAAGUAAACUUUGAUCCGGAGAUUUCCGAAUGAGGAAACUCACCCAUUAGGGUAUCAUAAAGUGAAUACAUAGCUUUAUUGAAGUCAACCCCGUGAACUGAAACAUCUUAGUAACGGGAGGAAAAGAAAGAAAAAUCGAUUGCCUGAGUAGUGGCGAGCGAAACGGCAACAGCCCAAACCAGUCUUAGGACUGGGGUUGUAGGACACUAAUAUACGGAGUUACCAAGUUUUAUGAUAGCAGAACACUUUGGAAAGAGUGACCAUAGGAAGUGAUAGUCUUGUAUGCGAAAUCAUGAAACCUCUAUAGUGUAUCCUGAGUACGGCGGGACACGAGAAAUCUUGUCGGAAUCUGUGGGGACCAUCCCAUAAGGCUAAAUACUCUCUAAUGACCGAUAGUGAACAAGUACCGUGAGGGAAAGGUGAAAAGAACCCCGGGAGGGGAGUGAAAUAGAGAAUCUGAAACCAUAUGCUUACAAAAAGUUCGAGCCCAUUAACGGGUGAGAGCGUGCCUUUUGCAGAAUGAGCCGGCGAGUUAUGGUAUUGUGCAAGGUUAAGUGGAAAACACGGAGCCGAAGCGAAAGCGAGUCUUAAUAGGGCGAUUUAGUACAAUGCUGUAGACCCGAAACCGAGUGAUCUAGCCAUGAGCAGGUUGAAGUUGGGGUAAUACCCAAUGGAGGACCGAACCAGGGUACUAUGUAACGUGCUUGGAUGACUUGUGGCUAGCGGUGAAAUUCCAAUCGAACUCGGAUAUAGCUGGUUCUCCCCGAAAUAGGUUUAGGCCUAGCCUUGAAUUAUUUCAUCCUGGAGGUAGAGCACUGAAUGUGGAAUGGCCGCGUCUAGCGGUACUGACUGCAAUCAACCUCCGAAUGCCAGGAAUUGUAGAUUCAGGAGUCAGUGUAUGAGGUGAUAACGUCCAUACGCGAGAGGAAAACAAUCCAGACCAUCAACUAAGGUCCCUAAAUAUAUGUUAAGUGGGAAAGGAUGUGGAGACGCACGAACAGCUAGGAGGUUGGCUUAGAAGCAGCCAUCCUUUAAAGAGUGCGUAAUAGCUCACUAGUCGAGUAUCUCUGCGCCGAAAAUGUACCGGGGCUAAACAUAUUACCGAAGUUAUGGAUUUAUAAUUUAUUAUAAAUGGUAGGGGAGCGUUCUAAGGGCGCUGAAGGUAGAUCGUGAGGACUACUGGAGCGCUUAGAAGUGAGAAUGCCGGUGUGAGUAACGUAAGGUAGGUGAGAAUCCUACCCACUAUUUGACCAAGGUUUCCAGGGUCAAGUUCGUCUUCCCUGGGUUAGUCGGGACCUAAGGCGAGGCUGAAAAGCGUAGUCGAUGGACAACAGGUUUAUAUUCCUGUACUGCUUAUAGGACUGAUGGAGUGACGGAGAAAGCUAGGAAGAGCCAGUUAUUGGAUUCUGGUCUAAGCGUUUAGGUUGAUGCACAGGAAAAUCCGUGAUAUCGAUAAGACUGAAGCGUGAUGGCGACGUGGUCUACGGACCGCUAAGUCUUCUGAAGCUAUGCUUCCAAGAAAAACUUCUAAAGAUAUGUUAUAAGUACCCGUACCUAGAACCAACACAGGUGGUCAAGGAGAGAAUCCUAAGGUGAGCGAGAGAACUAUGGUUAAGGAACUCGGCAAAAUUACCCCGUAACUUCGGAAUAAGGGGAGGUUUCUUCGGAAACCCGCAGUGAAUAGGUCCAGGCAACUGUUUACCAAAAACACAGGUCUCUGCUAAAGCGUAAGCUGAUGUAUAGGGGCUGACGCCUGCCCAGUGCUGGAAGGUUAAGAUGAUUUGUUAGGUGGACGAAAGUCGAUAACACCGAAGCUUUGAUUUGAAGCCCCAGUGAACGGCGGCGAUAACUAUAAUCGUCCAAAGGUAGCGAAAUUCCUUGUCAGGUAAGUUCUGACCCGCACGAAAGGCGUAAUGAUCUGGACGCUGUCUCAACCAUAGACUCGGUGAAAUCUUAAUACCUGUGAAAAUGCAGGUUACCCGCGACAGGACGGAAAGACCCCAUGGAGCUUUACUGUAGCUUGAUAUUGAAGUUAGGUAAUUUAUGUAGAGGAUAGGUGGUAGACUAUGAUGUAUGGACGCCAGUUCAUACGGAGUCGCCCUUGGAAUACCACCCUUAAAUUAUUUGACCUCUAACUUACUCCCGUUAUCCGGGAGGAGGACAGUGUCUGGUGGGCAGUUUGACUGGGGCGGUCGCCUCCCAAAGAGUAACGGAGGCGCUCAAAGGUUCCCUCAGAUUGGUCGGAAAUCAAUCAAAGAGUGUAAUGGUAUAAGGGAGCUUGACUGCGAGACCUACAAGUCGAGCAGGUGCGAAAGCAGGACAUAGUGAUCUGGCGGUAGAAUAUGGAAUUGCCGUCGCUUAACGGAUAAAAGUUACCCUGGGGAUAACAGGCUGAUAGCGCCCAAUAGUUCACAUAGACGGCGCUGAUUGGCACCUCGAUGUCGGCUCGUCACAUCCUGGAGGUGGAUUCGCUUCCAAGGGUUGGGCUGUUCGCCCAUUAAAGUGGCACGCGAGCUGGGUUCAGAACGUCGUGAGACAGUUCGGUCCCUAUCCGUCGUGGGCGUAGGAAAAUUGAGGAGAGCUGUUCCUAGUACGAGAGGACCGGAAUGGACAUACCUCUGGUGUAUCUGUUGUAACGCCAGUUGCAGUGCAGAGUAGCUAUGUAUGGACGGGAUAACCGCUGAAAGCAUCUAAGCGGGAAGCCUCCUCCAAGAUGAAUUUUCCCAUUCUUCGUGAAGUAAGAUUCCUUGUAGACUACAAGGUUGAUAGGCUAGAGGUGGAAGCGUAGUGAUACGUUGAGCUGACUAGUACUAAUAGAUCGAGGAUUUAACUUA